AGAGUUUGAUCAUGGCUCAGGACGAACGCUGGCGGCGCGCUUAACACAUGCAAGUCGAGCGAGAACCAGUCCUUCGGGACUGGGGACAGCGGCGAACGGGUGAGUAACACGUGGGUAAUCUGCCCUCGAUUCUGGGAUAGCCCGGGGAAACUCGGAUUAAUACCGGAUAGCCUCUCGAGCUUACGAGCUCUUGAGAAAAGGUAGCUUCGGCCUCCGAUCGAGGAUGAGCCCGCGGCGGAUUAGCUUGUUGGUGGGGUAAUGGCCUACCAAGGCGACGAUCCGUAGCUGGUCUGAGAGGACGAUCAGCCACACUGGGACUGAGACACGGACCAGACUCCUACGGGAGGCAGCAGUAAGGAAUAUUGGUCAAUGGGCGCAAGCCUGAACCAGCCAUGCCGCGUGCAGGAUGACUGCCCUACGGGUUGUAAACUGCUUUUGUACGGGAACAAACCUGGAUAUGUAUAUCCAGCUGAGCGUACCGUAAGAAUAAGGAUCGGCUAACUCCGUGCCAGCCGCCGCGGUAAUUC
rnacentral:rRNA from 1 species